rnacentral:rRNA from 1 species
AUUGAACGCUGGCGGCAUGCUUUACACAUGCAAGUCGAACGGCAGCGCGGGCUUCGGCCUGGCGGCGAGUGGCGAACGGGUGAGUAAUGCAUCGGAACGUGCCCAGUAGUGGGGGAUAGCCCGGCGAAAGCCGGAUUAAUACCGCAUACGACCUGAGGGUGAAAGCGGGGGACCGAAAGGCCUCGCGCUAUUGGAGCGGCCGAUGUCGGAUUAGCUAGUUGGUGGGGUAAAGGCUUACCAAGGCGGCGAUCCGUAGCUGGUCUGAGAGGACGACCAGCCACACUGGGACUGAGACACGGCCCAGACUCCUACGGGAGGCAGCAGUGGGGAAUGUUGGACAAAGGGGGCAACCCUGAUCCAGCCAGGCCGCGUGCGGGAAGAAGGCCUUCGGGUUGUAAACCGCUUUUGUUCGGGAAGAAAUCCUCUGGGCUAAUACCCCGGGGGGAUGACGGUACCGGAAGAAUAAGCACCGGCUAACUACGUG